CCAACAGGCCACCAGGGGGCACUACUGUAAUCAGUGCUUGAAUCACACGAUUCAAGAAUUCCGCAAUUAGAACUGAAAAAAAAAAAAUCUAAAAUCACUUUGCGUCUGUGGUUGAACAAACGCUUCACCUCGCCUUCAUAAUUGGUAAUUGUUUUUUGUGGGGUGGGGGACGGUUUGUUUAAUCUGGAGUCCAUCUGUCCUCUGACCUUUAUCCUGUUGACAACUGGACUUUAAAUCUGCAGUCGUGCACCUCAGUGCCGUUUUGACAGAUGUGCACGUUGUCUGCUGGCUUUUCCACUUCACCACAGGGGGGCGCUGUCACGUACAGUACCAGAAAGUGCAGCAUAGAAGAAGCUGACCUGUUAGCAUCGCGUUUGUGUGCAGAUGUUCAUAUUUUUAUGUUUAAUGUAAACGCUGAAGUCUGUUUUUUCGAGGUUUGUGUGCAUCGUGCAGCCAAAAAGACUCGUAGUGACAAAUGGGCGGGGCUACGUGUUAGUGUCUGAAUUAAAUACUUUUAAGAACUUUGCGACUCAGGUGAUUUUUCAGCUGAAGUUUGGAUUCCAGCAGAGAUUUUUCAGUUUGAACUAGAUUUUUUUUUUUAAAGACGAUUUGACGGACGCGAGGCUUCAUUCAUGUUCAGCUCCCUGAUAAACCACGUGGCUUCAUUUGGACACGCCCCCUCUGAACCUCAGCGCUUCGACUUCAGGAGUCACUGAGGAAAAAGACGGUGACAGAUCCAGAAAGAUGACAUCAAACUGACCACAGUGACUGCGUGGGUGAGUUCACUGCUCAGGGACAGUUUAUCCAAAGUAAACUACUACGUUUUCCAC